GACAGAGGUGCCGAGCGUUAGGCGGAAUCACUGGGCUUAAAGCGUGUGUAGGCGGACCGUUAAGUCCCUUGUGAAAUCCCACGGCUCAACCGUGGAACGGCUGGGUAUACUGGCGGUCUUGGGCAACCCAGGGGCUGUCGGAACAAGCGGUGGAGCGGUGAAAUGCGUAGAUAUCGCUUGGAACGCCGGCGGUGAAAACGGACAGCUGGGGGUUUGCCGACGCUGAGACACGAAAGCCAGGGGAGCGAACGGG
rnacentral:rRNA from 1 species